rnacentral:rRNA from 1 species
AGAAAUGAACUUAAUACAUACAUACAUACCAGUUCUCGUCCGAUCACUGAAGUCAAGCAAUAUUGAGCACGGUUAAUAUUUGAAUGGGUGACCGCUUGGGAACAUCGUGUGAUGUUGUCU